GUUGGUAGGGUAACGGCCUACCAAGGCCACGAUGUUUAGGGGACCUGAGAGGGUUGUCCCCCACACUGGUACUGAGACACGGACCAGACUCCUACGGGAGGCAGCAGUGAGGAAUAUUGGUCAAUGGGCGCAAGCCUGAACCAGCCAUCCCGCGUGAAGGAAGAAUGCGCUACGCGUUGUAAACUUCUUUUCCAGGGGGAGAAUUUUCCUGUCGAGACAGGGAUUGACGGUACCCUGGGAAUAAGCAUCGGCUAACUCCGUGCCAGCAGCCGCGGUAAUACGGAGGAUGCGAGCGUUAUCCGGAUUUAUUGGGUUUAAAGGGUGCGUAGGCGGAUUGAUAAGUCAGUGGUGAAAUUCUGCAGCUUAACUGUAGACUUGCCGUUGAUACUGUUAGUCUUGAGUGUGGUCAAGGCAGGCGGAAUGUGUAAUGUAGCGGUGAAAUGCUUAGAUAUUACACAGAACACCGAUUGCGAAGGCAGCUUGCUGGGUCAUUACUGACGCUGAUGCACGAAAGCGUGGGGAUCAAACAGGAUUAGAUACCCUGGUAGUCCACGCCGUAAACUAUGAUCACUCGCUGUUGGCGAUACACGGUCAGCGGCUAAGCAAAAGCAUUAA
rnacentral:rRNA from 1 species